ACGGAGGGUGCGAGCGUUAUUCGGAAUUACUGGGCGUAAAGCGCGUGCAGGCGGUUUGGCAAGUUUGAUGUGAAAGCCCCGGGCUUAACCUGGGAAGUGCAUUGGAAACUGCCGGACUUGAGUACUGGAGAGGAAGGGGGAAUUCCCCGUGUACAUGUGAAAUUCGCAGAGAUCGGGAAGAAUACCAGAUGCGAAGGCGCCCUUCUGUACGGUUACUUACGCUGAUACGCGAAACUGUAUGGAGCAAACAG
rnacentral:rRNA from 1 species